rnacentral:tRNA from 1 species
GGGACCGUAGCUCAGUGGUUAGAGCGGCCGGCUCAUAACCGGUUGGUCAUAGGUUCGAAUCCUAUCGGUCCCACUA